rnacentral:rRNA from 1 species
ACGCUCGACACCUACGGGAGGCAGCAGUGGGGAAUAUUGCACAAUGGGCGAAAGCCUGAUGCAGCAACGCCGCGUGAGCGAAGAAGGCCUUCGGGUCGUAAAGCUCUGUCCUCAAGGAAGAUAAUGACGGUACUUGAGGAGGAAGCCCCGGCUAACUACGUGCUAGCAGCCGCGGUAAUCUGAGCGGGCUGGCAAGGC